rnacentral:lncRNA from 12 species
GGAUAAACUGGGUUAUACUGGGAUGGAUUAACUGGGAUAAACUGGGUUAUACUGGGAUGGAUUAACUGGGAUAAACUGGGUUAUACUGGGAUGGAUUAACUGGGAUAAACUGGGUUAUACUGGGAUGGAUUAACUGGGAUAAACUGGGUUAUACUGGGAUGGAUUAACUGGGAUAAACUGGGUUAUACUGGGAUGGAUUAACUGGGAUAAACUGGGUUAUACUGGGAUGGAUUAACUGGGAUAAACUGGAACCGCCCGCCUCGGUGUCCUCCAGCAACAUCUGGAAUGGAGAAACUGGGAGAGACUGGGAUUAACUGGGUUAUACUGGGAGUACUGGGAGCUCCCGCCUCGGCGUCCUCCUGCAACAUCUGGGACCAGGAAACUGGGAUGAACUGGGUUAUACUGGGAUAAACUGGGUUAUACUGGAACGGACUGGGAUUAACUGAAACCUCCCGCCUCGGCCUCCUGCAGCACCUGCAGCGGGAAAUGGGGGCUGGGAGACACCGACCCCAGGUGUGCCCAGGUGUGCCCAGGUGUGCUCAGGUGUGCCCAGGUGUGCUGUGAGUGCCCCCAGGUGUGCCCAGGUGUGCUGUGAGCGCCCCCAGGUGUAUCCCAGGUGUGCCCAGGUGUACCCAGGUGUAUCCCAGGUGUACCUAGGUGUAUCCCAGGUGUACCCAGGUGUACCCAGGUGUACCCAGGUGUAUCCCAGGUGUGCCCAGGUGUAUCCCAGCUGUGCCCAGGUGUAUCCCAGGUGUGCCCAGGUGUAUCCCAGGUGUAUCUCACCUUGUCCAGCAGCUCGCGGGUCUCGUCGGUGAGCGGCGCGUGGGAGAACAUGCCAGAACUGUGACCCUGCUGUGCUGUGAGUGCCCCCAGGUGUGCCCAGGUGUAUCCCAGGUGUAUCCCAGGUGUACCCAGGUGUACCCAGGUGUAUCCCAGGUGUGCCCAGGUGUGCCCAGGUGUACCCAGGUGUGCCCAGGUGUGCCCAGACCCCCCCCCCCCCCCCCCCCCCCCCCCCCCCCCCCCCCCCCCCCCCCCCCCCCCCCCCCCCCCCCCCCCCCCCCCC